GUCAAAUCAGAAAAAGAACCUGACCGUGAGGACUAGAGUAAGAGGCUGUGAAGACUGCCGCCUCCUCGCACGACCCACACCGUCGAGUGUCCGGAGAUGGACGGGAAAAGCUACCACAGUGGCAUGGCCUUAUUUCCUGUGAGUCGCCUUUAAUUCAAACCUAGACAGACGCACGCCCUGCCCGGCCCUCCUCAGACCCGAGAGCUGCGCUGUGAGGGGACGCGCCUCCCCUCGUUGAUGAGAAUUCGCUGCCACGCUUUUUGCACAGGCGAGAGCCUCACCGCGGCGGCAACUCUACCACGUGGACAAAGGCACAGCCGUGUCUCAUUCUCGACAAUGGAGGAGGGCGUGGGGUAUGCACUAGGGGCUGUCUCGGGGGUCAGACCGCCGGGGGACGGCAACGUACCUGCGCGGCGACGUCCAGGGUCAGCGCGGGCCGCGGCCCCCACGGUCGGGACGCCCCCCGCGUGGGACGCAGUUCCACUGAGGGGCCGGCCGCGGAGGUCACAAGGUGGGCCCACCGAAGCCUCUGGUAGGGGCACGGGAAGAGCCGCCUUUCUCUCCUCCUCCUCCUUCUUGGAGGCUUACUCUGGGUCACCGGGGCCCCAGAGCCGGGGGACUUUCCGGCGCAGUUCCGCGGCUUCCCGCGCGCGGCCAGCCGGUCUCCACGCAGACGCGAGCGCCCCGGCGCCGCCCUCUCCCGCAUUCCCGUGACGGGCAGCGAAGUCAGCCAGUGGGACUGCGGGCCGGAAGGCUAACUCCGCCCAUGUGUGGCUUAUAAGAGGCGGUAGCUUCCGGGAGUGUCACUUUCCCAGAAAUCCCGGCAAAUCCGCCCUAGAGUUUUCGUUGGUCCAACCGGGCCACAGACUCCGGCCCGUCUGGUUAGGUGGGAUGCCUGAUUGGGCCAAACCUCUUAGGUCCCGCACCUAGAGCGGGGAGUAGCGUCUGCUUUUUUUUCCGCUGAGCGGAGGCCGCUAGGCUGGAGAGGGAGGGGAAGGUGUGUGGGGUCGGGUGAGAUGCUUUCCCCUCGUCCCGCAUGCGCCUGUAUUGGAGUGAUUUCAGUUAAAAGUCUCGUGAAACGUCACCAGUGAUGUAGUCACGGCCAGCAGCAGCUGCCUGACCCCGCCGAGGCCUUCCGUCUGGCAACAUGUGGGGCGCCGCAAUGCUUGAGGCCACGGCGAGGGCAACGCCGGCCGCGCCCCGUGGAAACCGCGUGGCGGAGUGCUUGAGCCGAUCGCGCUCUUUAGGAGUUAGGCCACUUAGAGGCGACAUCUUGGUGGACACGGAGGAAGCCAGUUUUAGUCAGAUGGGAAAAGUAGCUAAAAGUGGGAGGAGACUGGGGCGAGGGUGGGACGUGGGGGAGGCGGGGGCGUGACGGCGGCUCUCCACUGCCCUGAGGCUUGAGGGGCCCCGGGAAACCCGGGCCCGGCUGGGGUUGGGACUCUGUUCUUCCGCGUUCAUAGCUACGAUUCAGCUGUUCUGGAAUGAGAACUGGAUUUUUACUGAACUUUACGAACAGGCUCAACAGGAUGUAACCAUUCAGUGUGGAGGCAUGAGAAACUAUAGCUUGUAAAUUAAAAGAAAAACCUCAUUUCUUUAGACAACAUUUUCAGCUCCAUCUGCUGGUCUGAGGCUGAAUAAUUAAUUGAAAAGCCAGGAGAGAAAUGGGGCUAGAUGAAGUGAGGUAGUUUAACCUGUGCUUUCUUGGCGUCCCGUCGGCUCCCUUUGCUUGCAUUCCUAAGAGAAUCUUGGUCUCAGAUUUCAGGACAAGUGGAAAACAGUUGGGCUAUUUAGUAUAGGCCACCCCUUCCCCCCCGCACCCUCUCCCCCCACACACUUCAGUUAAGUAGGUGGAAAGUUUGGAUUAUUAAAAAGACACGUUGGAGGCUGAGCAGAGAGUGUGAAAGAGCAUUUUCGGGGCUUUGUGAACUAACAUGGCCUUUUGAACCCCAAGGCAGUGAUACUUGGAUUGAUCUAAAUCAGCGUGGAUGGAAUGGAAGUGGGAAUGCGUUGAUUUACUGCACGCUCAGUAGUUUGGAUGCUGUGCUGCUUUUGUUUCCUGUAUAAUAAGCCCCUUUAAUUUGUUUCACAUAACUUAUUGGGGGAGGUACCAUUAUUUCUGAUUUUAUAGACAAGGAGGCUGACAAAGAACCAUCCUGGUGUCACAGGGUCGAUUCAUACCUAGAAAAGUAUGAAGAUUCAUACCUAGAAAAAUUAGAAGAACAUUAAUGCAGCUCCAAGGCCUUUUAAAAAUGCGAGACUUUAGCUUUGAAAGGCAGCUGUUCUGCCUUUUAGGUUUGUGGGGUCUGCCUUUUAGGUUAGGGUCCUUUUAGGUUUGUGUCUCCAGCAUAUAAAAUUGUGCCUGACCCAAAGCAAGGGCUCAAUAAAUACUGUUUGAAUGAACAGACAAACCUGGGUUCAAAUCAUGCUCCUCAACUGCACAGUUGUGAUGAUCUGUCCUCAACACUCACUCCCUGCUCUCUUUGGAAGCAACCCUGGCUUUUAUUCCCCCUAUUUGUAGCAGGACAAGCCGCAGACAAAACCCCUCAGAAACCAAGUUAAAGAAGGAAGGGCUUUAUUCGGCCAGGGAACUUCAGCAAGACUCACGUCUCCAACAACCGAACUCCCCAAGUGAGCAAUUCCUGUCCCUUUUAAGGGCUCACAACUCUAAGGGGGUCCACGUGAGAGGGUCAUGAUCAAUUGAGCAAGCAGUGGGUAUGUGACUGGGGCUGCAUGCACAGGUAAUUAGAACGGAACAGGACAGGACAGGGAUCUUCACAGUGCCUUUUUUAUGCAAACAACCAAUUAGGUCAGGAGUCAAUCUUUACCAGGCCCAGGGUGUGGCGCUGGGCUGUCUGCUUGUGGAUUUCAUUUCUGCCUUUUAGUUUUUACUACUUUUUUCUUUGGAGGCAGAAAUUGGGCAUAAGACAAUAUGAGGGGUGGUCUCCUCCCUUACUAUGAUCCUGGAGUUUGGGGAGGUCAGAGACAUCCCUGGUUCCAAAGGACACACGACUGGCACUGUAUGCGUUGAGCACAGCUGAGGGUGGUCGGAGGCCCAAUUAGGGCCACUGAGCCUGGAGGUGUUUGCUGAAGGAUUCUGGGGAAGGAGAUUUUUCUCCCUUCCCUUCUGGACUCACAGUGUGUGGAUAGCACUGUUGCAGCCAUCUUGCUGCCCUGAGUGGUAGACCCUUGAUGAGGCAGACAGGAAAGCUGGGAAGAAAUCAGGCUCUUGAUGACUAUGUUGGGAGUCAAAUCAUCCCUCAAGUUUGGACUUUUCAGUUUCAAGAGCCAGGAAAUCCUUUUAUCUUUUGUACUAUUUAAAAUUGGGCAUAAGCAUAAAGUUAUUUGCAACCUGACUAGUGUGGCUUAAGCAUUAGCAGGGUGGCUGUGGCAAGUGAGUUAGCCUCUUUGAGGCUCAGCUGCCUCCUCUGUAGAAUAGGGGCAAUGGUCAUAUCCAUCUCCUCGGGCUGACGUGAAGAGCGAACGAAACAAUGCAUGCUAAGUGCUUCAUAUGGGGCCGAGCAUGAAGUAGCAUCCAGAAAGCGUUGGGAAAGCAGAAUCAUGCUUUGACAUUUUGCAUCUAUAGCAACUUCCUUAUUUGCCAACAAUCCCUCCAAUGACUGGCUUUUAAACUUGGAAGAAGUGUAUUGACAAAUUGGUGGGAUUUGUCACCAAAUUGCAUGGGCCCUUCUGAAGAUGAGCCCAGUGGUCCCAUGUGCAGCGUGGAGUCCGUCCAGGGAGGAAGGGCACAUCUGGUCACACAGGCAGAGUCCUUGGCAGCUCUGAUGACAGGCUUGAUUUAAGGAUCUUUAAGUCUGUAAAUAGAGGAUUGAUCUUUUCCCUCAUUGUCAAUGUUGUUCUCUGGCGCAGGAUCUUAACAGCAUUUGUUUGCCAUGAGAGGCUGCAUGACUUGGAGCCAGUCAAUCUACGGUGACAGCAAAGCAGUUGUGACUCUAAUGUACUGCCACCAAAAACACUUUCUUUUCCGUCUCUCAGCCUUAGCAGGAUCAUCUGAGCCACUGCCAGUUCAGAGUGAGCUGGGGCUGCUUUUCCAGGAGGGCAGUUGGGGACCUGACUUUUGAGGAGAUUCUGAGGUUUACUGAAGGAGCAAACCCUAUGGGGUUAGACAGAGUUUUGUGAAAUCUGAGCUCUGCCUUCUCUGUACUUCAGUUACUGCCUCUGUAAAAUGGGGGUGUGGACACUGUAGACAUUAAAUGGCAGUGUAUAAAGGAGGCACCAUCUGGAGCAUUUGUCCAGCCUGCAAUGAUGCCGUUUGUCUGAGAAGGUUGUAGGGAUCAUUUCUGGUUUGAAUCUCAGCCCUCUUCCCAGCUCAGCCACCAGCCAUCUGGAAUUGUGGGAGAGGUCAGACGGCUGCAAAGCCUCUAUGUGGAAUUGGAACUAAAUACACAUAUUUAUCAGUAUUUAAUGGAAGACUGCAGGAUGCUUGCAGAGUCUACAGAAGGCACUGGUAAGGUGGCUCUUUUAGUCUGGGAACAAGAACUGGGCAAUGGAUGCCUCAGAGGCUGAGUUGGACUGACAGAGCUGUGACCAGUGUCUAGAACCUGGGAUUCUCCACUAAAGUCAGAUUCUCAGGAGAGAGUUGGAUUGGCCCAACUUCAGUCAUGUGCCACCCCUCUGCUGCCCAGGAGGGAUGGGUGGCUUGAGGGACAGUCCUGCCAAAAACACCUGGGGAGGAAGUUUCUCAAAAGAAGUAAUGUGGAGGAGCUGUUCCCAAAGGAAGCGGGGGAUUCUGAGAAGGCAGGAAUAACUGAGGCCAUGAGCACAGACAGAGGAUGAAGCAGAGGUCAAGGUCAUGUGACCAGAGGAGAGAACUGGAGCAAGACAUGUAUGCACACACACAUGCACACAUGGACACUCACAUAUGCACACUUACAUGUACACAUGCACACUUACAUGUACACAUGCGUACACACGAGCUAUGGAGAAUGGUUGCCUUGAUUCCUUACUAUGAUGGAUUACAUUUUCUGAAAAUGGACACAAAAUAAAUUUCUGGUCCCAUGUCCUCAUCUGGAACCUUACCUUGCCACCCGCUGUCAGGACAUGGUGUUGAGUCCUUCCCUUGAUCAGGGAGGCCUUUGUGACUGUGUGAGCUCAGGCUAAAUGGUGUUACAUGUCUGCCAAGGUUGGCCUGUAAAAGGAGAUACAGCCGGUGCUGCUCUCUAGCUAUACAUGUGCCUGGAGCCCAGUGCUGUGCUGCAAGCAAAGCCCAACUCCAGCUGAGCCACCCCACAGCAACGCGUGCCCAGUAGCCAGUUGUGUGGCUUGUGUGAACCACCGUGGUCCUAGGUUGGCAAGGCUUGAAGAGAAAUGAGCCUACCCUGCCUUGCCCCACCCAAACUGCAGAUUUGUGGGCAAAAUAAAUGAUUGUUGUCAUGCUAACCCACUAAGUUUUGUAGUGGUCUGCUAUGCAGCAAGACAGAGUUCUUACUCAUUACUUUCCUUCUCCAAGUCCUUGCUGUGGUCCUGCCCCAAGGUUCCAGGGAAUAGCCUAGUGCUGGCAAUAACUCCUUUUUAAUUUAUGUCUGACCUGGGUUUGCCACUUGCUGCUAAUGGAACCUUGAAAAUAGGGCCCCUUGGCUGGGUGCGAUGGCUCAUGCCUGUAAUCCCAGCACUUUGGGAGGCCGAGGUGGGCACAUCAUGAGGUCAGGAGUUUGAGACCAGCCUGGCCAACAUGGUGAAACCUUGUCUCUACUAAACAUACAAAAAUUAGCCGUGAGUGGUGGCAGGUACCUGUAAUCCCAGCUUGCUCAGGAGGCUGAGGCAGGAGAAUUGCUUGAACCCGGGAGGCGGAGGUUGCAGUGAGCUGAGACCAUGCCAUUGCACUCCAGCCUGGGUGACGAGACUCCAUCUCAAAAAAAGAAAAGAAAAGAAGGCCCCUCAAGGCCUUACGUAGUGACGCCACCUCAACGAACUCACCACAGUCCUGAGGCUGGCUUUGUCCUGAUUUCUGAAAAUGGGUCCAUUGGCUAGGACCAGUCACAGGAGGAAGCUCACAAGGCUGCACUCCAGAGCAGGUGUUGGUUGGUUCAUCUACAGCCAGAACCAACUUCCCAGGGACUAAGCAGCAUGUGUUCAUGUGCUCUCUAUGUGAGCAGGUGCAGGUGGCUAUAAGAGCAUGGGUCAGAACAAGGAAACACAGUAGAUGGCAUGAUCCCAGUGGCCAAGGGCACAAGUUGACAGGGCCUGAAGGAUCUAUGUUCUCAGGAAGGAACAUGGUCACCAGGGAGACCAGAUACCCCACAGUGAGUCUGGUGACCACAUUCCCUUCUCACCAGCCCUGCCCACAUUUGCCCCUGUGAAUUACCCUACCCCUUUUUUUGGGCGUUUCCACAUUCUGGUGGUGGAUAUUUUAAUUUGUUCACCUCAUGGGCUGGGAAUCUCUUUUCUCUUAAAGGUGACAUUGCAUAGGUAUGUUCCAAGUCUUAUUGACUUUUAACUCUCAGGGACACUGUUAUUUCUCUGCUUCUAAGCCAGUUUUAUAAAUUACUGUGUAGGAAGUGCUUAGCACAUGGUACAUGUCUUAGUUUGGAUUCCCCGAGAAGCUGAUCCGAAGCAAGUAUUUUGGUGCAAGUCAUUGGUUUGCUAGGCAAAGGGGUGUAGGGAAUUGGGAUGGGUGAGGAGUAGAUUACCCAGGCUGCUACCACUGUGGGUGACUGGAUCCUCAUCACGCUGUGCAGCUCCUCAUAGAACAGCAUAGAACAUAUGCUUCAGAAUUAUUCCCCCUGGAGGGCCAGGAGCGUGUGGGAACUGUGGAAUUUACACACAACUCCUGAGAGUGAGGGCUGCCGGGGAGGUGUCGUUUUCUUGUCUGGCAAGAGGGACAGAGAAGCUUUUCUUCCACUGGCCUGGAAAAAAAGCCCUUAGGCAUUUGGAAAUCAGCUAGAGCCCCCUGAAAAGGGAAGUACCAGGCCUCAGACAGGCACUGAAGGUGUCAAUCAUAGCAGGCAUUUUAAGUGGCUCCACAAGCAGCUUCUGGAGGACCCAGCACAUUCAGUGUACUUCACAAGCAACCCCGUGGUGACCUUGGGCAUAGCCUCGGAGGUGGCUAUUCCUAUUGACCCAACCAUGUAGGCCAACUGUAGAUCUGAGUGGAAAGGGGCUGUGAACCUCAUUAAGCCAUGGGUGCUCAAAGCUGAUGACACAAAGGAAAGGUAAGAUGUAUGAUCCCUGCUCUCGAGCUGAGCUUCGAGCUGAGGGCAUGACACUUAUAAACACUAGGCUCUUAGGGAAUGAUGGCCUUGUAAAAUGGCCUGUGCUGCUUUGUUUACCAGGAAUGCCCUUCUCUGGACAUGCAAAUCAAAACCCCAAUGAGGUGCCAUUCUGCAAUCUUAGGAUGCCUAGAAUCAAAAAAUAGAAAAUAACAAAUGUUGGUGAGAAUGUGGGGAAAUUGGAACCCUUGUGCAUCGCUGGUGGGAAUGUAAAAUGGUUCAGUUACUGUAAAAAACUGUACGAUGAGUCCAAAAAAAAUUCAGCAUAGAACUGCCAUAUGACCUAGCAAUUCUACUUCUAGGUAAAUACCCAAAAGAAUUGAAAAUAGGUACUCAAGUGAGUAUUUGUUCAUGAUUGUUCAUAAUAGCCAAAAAUUAAAAACAAUCCAAAUGUCCAAUGGAUGAAUGAAUAAACAAAAUGUGGUAUACCCAUACAAUGGAAUAUUAUUCAGCCAUGAAAAAUAAAGUACUGGCCAGGUGUGGUGGCUUAUGCCUGUAGUCCCAGUGCUUUGAGAGGCUGACGCAGGAGGAUUGCUUGGGGCCAGGAGUUCCACACCAGCCUGGGCAACAUCAUGAGACCUAGCCUCUACAAAAAAUAAAAAAAACUUGCUAGCUGUGGUGGGUCACACCUGUAGUACUAGCUAUUUGGGAAGAUAAUGUAGGAGGAUCUCUAGAGCUCAGGAGUUCAAGGCUGCAGUGAGCGAUGAUUAUGCCACUGCACUGCAGCCUGGACAACAGAAACCCCAUUUCUAAAAUAAAUAAAAAUAAAUGAAGUACUGAUACAUGCUGCAAUGUAGAUGAACCUUGAAAACAUGGUGAAAGAAGCCAUACACAGAAGUCACCUGUUGUAGGAUUCCAUUUCUGUGGAAUAUCCAGAAUAGGUGAAUCUGCAGAGAGAAUGCCGAAUGAUGUUUGCCAGGGGCUGUGGGCAGGGAGGAACGGGGAGAAGCAGCUUCAUGGGUACCAGGCUUUUGAGUCAUGAAAAUGUUCUGGAACUGAUAGAGGUUGGACGAUAUUGUGAAACUGCUAAAAGCCGUUGAAUUGUUUGCAUUAAAAUAGCCCAUUUUAUAUAAACUUCACCUCAAGAAAUUAUUAAACAGAAAAAAAAAAUUCUCUUUCCUCGAGGCUCAGUUGACAUGCCAGCUGCCCAAAGGCAUGUCUUCUGGUCCAAGUGACUGGAGGUGACUUUCGUGACCUCAUGGCCACUGGGUUCCUCUGCUUCUAGAUGCUUUGUCUCCUAGCUGCCAUAUGUCCCUUCCUCCUGACUCUGAGAGCUGAGGGCUGGGGCCAGUGUCUGUGUCCCUUCCUCCUGAUUCAGGACUGGGGGCUGGGGCCAGCCAUUCCUCUCAUGCUCUGAGGCUCACACUUACUUCAGCCUUGCUGAGUCGCUUAUGCCCCUGCAGCUCCUACUGUGGGUCUGGAGUUUGGGCUCAGCUGUCUUUCUCUGGGGCCAUUUGAACAAUCCUGGUGGAUAGAGCAGAAAGAGCAUGCGAACUUGGAGUCAGAUAGACCUGCGUGACCUCCUGUGAAUGAUCUAACCCUCUGAGCCUGUAAAAUCAGGGUACCUGCUCCCUGAUGUUGGCAUGUGGAUACCUGAAGAAUGCCUGAGUAGUGGGUGCAGCUCUUGUGGCACAAUUACCCCAACUCCACUCCCAUCUUCUCUUCCUCUCUUAACGGGUCACUGACUUUUCUGGUCCUGAAACACACAUGCUCCUCAAAGGGACUUGCCUGGGGCACAACUCUCACUCUGCAGUAUCCCUACUUGUGAGCUCCCCAUAUCCUAGACUAGGGUCCCAGACCCGAGGCCCUCCAUAAUAAGACAUGAGCUGGGUUCCCACCAUUCUCCCCCGUGCCAUGUUUCGGCCACGCGGAAUCCAUGCUGCUUGCCGCAGUCCUUAGGCUGCCCUCUCUGCCUUGUGUACCUUGCCCCCAUUUCUGCACACAUUUCCGCUAUCCUUCAGGGACUGGCUCAGAUGCCACCUUCUCUUUACAGCCAUCCCACUUUGUGGAAAGGUCUGUGGUGUUCCCCCCUCUGAACAUUCCUGUGCCCCUUUUGUGGCAUUCAUUUCUCGCUCUCUCCCCAGUGUUCGGCCAGGCCGUGUGGGCCCAGGGCGAGGCCCUGGUUUGCCCAGCAUCAGCAGAGACGUUUUAGUGAUGCAUGGAUCUGAGGGCUGGUCUGUGUGCGGAGAGAGGCUGCUCCCAAGUGGGAGAUGCUGAGGUGCUUGGCAAAGAUGGGACUUGAGAGAGGCCUUGAUUGAUGAGUGGGCUUUGAAUAAGGAAUCAAAGAGUCUUGAGAGCUCAGAAGUGAGCGGCAAGCACUUUUUGUCUCCCCCUGCAGCCUGGGAAAGCUGAGUGGAGCAGACAGUGAGAUACCCUCUUCACUCCUUUCCAGACCAGGGUUUUCUGGCCACAGUCUUGGACCUUACUCAUGGCAGGGCAGGAAUGCCCAGAGUUAACACCCAAGAGCAUCCUUCAGUAAGGACAGAUGGGAAUUGGAGGGUUCCAACCCUUCCAGUCCCUCAGGCAGGACAUCUCUGAGGCACACCCCGCAUCAUCCCGGAGCUCCCCAGGGACUGAGCCAGGCACCUGCAGUGCUGCCCCUGUACUGGCUUCCCCCUGCCCUACCUCACAUCCCCAUACCCCAACAGGUGCCCCUGGGAUCACCUCUCAAAUAAGUGGCUUGCAGUGCAAUUGUUGUCUCAGGGGCUGCUGCUGGGGACUCUGUCUAAGCUAGGGAGCAAAGAAAGGACUUUCUCUCACUGUUGAAACACCUGAAGAAUGUCUAGAUGGGUUUUCCUGGUCCCUUGAAGGGUCAAUGCCUUGGCUAACAGCUCUCUUUUGGUGCCAGACAGUAACAAAUCUAAUGCAAACUACAGUUCUCAAAGUGAGGGAGCGUCAGAAUCCUUGCUAACACUAGGGUGCCAGAGCCUUAGCUUCAAAGUUUCAGACAUAGCAGGGCCAAGGGAGGCCAGAAUUUGCAUUUCUAACCAAUUUCUAGUCAUACUGGAAAGCCGGGACCACACUUUGAAAACAACUGCUCUUGACUAGAGAAUAAAAGUAGCCUGGGUUGAAAAGUGCUCUGCAGCUUUUUUAAUGAAGUAAAUUAUUAUUUUACACUCUUCUGCAAUUAGUUCAGCCUUGACUGUUGAGCUUAGUUUUCCUUUUUUUUUUUUUUUUUUUGAGACGGAGUCUCGCUCUGUUGCCAGGUUGCAGUGCAGUGGCGUGAUCUCAGCUCACUGCAACCUCCACCUCCUGGGUUCAAGCAAUUCUUGUGCCUGAGCCUCCCGAGUAGCUGAGACUACAGGCAUGUGCCACCUUGCCCAGCUAAUUUUUCUAUUUUUAGUGGAGAUGGGGUUUCGCCGUGUUGGCCAGGCUGAUCUCAAACUCCUGACCUCAGGUGAUCUGCCCGCUUCGGCCUCCCAAAAUGUUGGGAUUACAGGCAUGAGCCACUGCGCCCAGCCAGUUUUCCCGCUUUUGAAGCUGUCUGAUCUGUCUUGCUCUUCAAAUCUGAAUUGCCAUUCACAGAAGCAGCCACACGAGGGUGGUCUAGCCUUUGACAAGAGCCGCUCUGCUUGCGUUGUAGACAGGAUCUGAGUGACACCUUUUCUGAUCAAGAAACCAAAGUGUUCCUUCCCUAUAUCAAACAUAGGGCAUUUAAAAAGUCCAAGAUAAUCUCCUUUGUCUUGACAGGUGGCUGCUCAGAGAGGCUUUUUUGUUUUUCUCUAGGAUAUUUUAGAAACGGUUUGGGAAAGCAGAGGUCUCUGCCUCUCCAAAGCAGCACAGCUUUUAGUGUGGUUCUAUUUCAAAUUCUGAGGUACUGUCUCAAAAAUGCUUCCUGGUGAGCAUUUUGGUCUAAUGGCUGACUUUGGCACUUUGUCCCGGGAUGGUUCCGAGGCGAUGAAUGCACAGUGUACAAUGGGAUGACCGCGAUGGCAUGUGGGGGAUCAGCUCAGGGUGCCGGCGCAAGGCCCCAGGCAGCCCGUUCUUGCCAGCCAGUGCCUAUGACCAGCGAGGGGUGGGGGCAUCGAGAAGAUCCUGCCCCUCCCCACGACCCUACCCCUUCUCCCGUGACAUCAGAGUGUCAUCCCAGGUGGAAUAUUCCCAGUAUCCCUUCCUGCUCCCAGCUGUGGGCCCCUGGAGGGCACUCCGGGUGAUGAGGAUUCUCAUCCCUGCUGAGUUGGAAAGGGGCACCCUGACAGGAGAGCUGGCCAUGCCCCAAGCCUCCCCAGCCUUGCCCUCUGCAUUCCUUGAGGGCCCUGUCUUCAUGGGGAUGGGGGAUGGCAGCUGUCAGCAACAGGCCAAGUGGUUCUCUCUUCUGUCCCCAGCCUCGAGUGGAAGCAGAGGCUGCAUUAAUUUAAUUUAAAAAUUUAAGCCAAAGUUCCAACUCGUGGUACAGAGAUCCAAGAGCAUAGAAGGUUUGUAAGGAGAGCAGGUACCUCUUGUCCUGCCCCUUGCUUUCCCUCGCAUUCAGGCUCGUGGGGUAAACACUUGCAACUGUUCCUAUGUUUUUGUUCUUUUGGCAGUUACCUCUGUAAUUCUAAAUAAUGAGCUUGUAAUUCAAUUGCUUGACUUAUCAAUUUUGGACAAUCUUCAAUGACUAUUACAAUGGAAUCUUACAAAAUAGUCUCUUAGCUAAUUUCAUUAGAUUUAGUUCUAGUGAUGACCUUUAUAGCUUUAAAUAUGUAAUUCCUCUCUGCUUCUUAUUCCAUCAAUGAUAGAGACUGUUGUCUAACUCUCUGCCCUCUCGGACGGGGAUAACAGUUCUCUCAACCAUCUCUUCCUAAGUCCCAUCUCUGUGACUAACCCUUGAGCUGCUGUCACCUCCAUGCUCUCCUCCACCUGUGGAAAUAGAACCCUGACUUGCGUGUGGCCACUCAGCCUGAAGACCAUGCUUCCUACUUUCUCUCCCACUAGCUGUGGCAUAUACCUCAUCUGGUUGAUGAGAUGUAGUUUGAAGUGUUGUGUGGGACUUCCUAAAACUAGGGAGGCUAGGCCAUCUCCCAUGUCUUCAUUCAACUGCUUGAAAUGCAGAUGUGAUGGCUGGCACUUUGGCUGCUAUUUUGGACCAUGCAGAUGUGGGCCAGAUCCUAGGGAUGGUAGAGAGGAGGGUGGAAGGACUUGGCUCCCUUUAUUUCAUAGAGCUAUGAUAAGUUCUCUUUUAGGCAAGUGAGAACUACAAGUCUAUUUUGUUUACAUCAUUUUGAGCUCAUCAGUUAGAUGCCAUCAAAACUAAUUCUAGAUAAUAUGGUAAAAACUGUCUUCACAUUUACAGCAUCAAGGAUGACUACAUUUACCUUCUGUUCUACAGCGAUGAUUAGGUUUAUUCUUUGUCUAGAUUGAGUCUAAGCAUUGAAAAGAAAUAAGAAGCAUUUUCACUAUUAGGCCUAACUGUUGAUUACUAUAGAAACACACACAUGUAGGACUUGCUCUGUUCUCUCCCACGAUGUCUGUACCCCCUAAAGGGUGACUUUCCCAGAUUCAAAGUCCAGUGUACAGCCUUCUCUUUUCCAACCCUCCUUACACCAUGCUUAUUUUAGUUUACUUUCUAUUCGGCUAUAUCUUUAUGGAACAGGAUCUUGUUUUUCUUGGAAUUCCUAAUUGUUUUUGUCUUUGUUGCUUUUGCUGUUGACAAAAUAAUGUGCCUUAAUCCCUUCAUCUCAUGGGCCAGCCUUUCCAGAGCACCCCUCAUUGCUUGAAAAGCCCUUUACCCCUGGAGUCACUCCCUAAUGAUCCUUGGACCUUUCCAGUCUGUAUGGGUUUCCUUCAUCCUCUGGAAAAGUUAUUCUAUUUUUUUUAUGGCUUUCCCCCAUUUACUUUCUCUCCUCUUUCUCUUGUUUUUGCAAUUUUGGCCUCUCUCUUGCUUGCUUGCUUUCUUUUUUUUUUUUUUUUUUUUUUUUUGCCUGUGCCCUGGGAAUUAAAAACAAACAAAUAACUUUAUUGUGUAUCCUUUCUAUUGACUUAUUAUUUGCCUUAUCUGGCCAAUUAUAUCUUUAUUUUCUAAGCUUACUUUCAUGAUCUCAUGUUCCUGACUGGUCCUUUUUUCUAGUAUUCUGUUCUUCUAUUGUACUUUUUGCCUUGUUCCUUUUUAUAUAUAAGGAAUGCAAUUACCUCUCAAAAUUUAUGAGAACAAACUCAAGUCCAUAGAAACCUCUGGAGCUGAGAAUCCUCAGUUCAAAUGCUGGCUCUGCCACUUACCAGCUGCAUGAUCUUGGGCAAGUUAAUCUGCCUCAAGGCUUUGGCAAGAUCAAAGGGUUGCUAUGACCUGAUGCACACAUGGUACCUGACUUCAGGUAGGUACUGAGUGCAUGUCACUGGUGGCAGAUUGCAUUGCCCAAAGGCGUCUGAACAAUUAAAGAUGUCCCAGACCUCCUGCUCUAACAACAUGACUGACAUUGCUCUCACUGAGAGGUGGCGUCUAUGUUCCUCCCGUUUAAUCUGGGAAGAGAGGAGUUCCCAGGCUAGGUCAUAGAAGGUGAUGCAGGUUCCACUCAGCUCACCUGUGCUCACUCCCUCUUCUUUUUUUUCCUCUCUCUCUCUCUCUCCCUCCAACUCCCCAUACCUCUGUCUCUCUCUGCUCACCCUUGAAUGCAGCUACCAUGCUGUGAGGAAACCUGGACUAGGCCAGCUGGAAAGAGGACAUGGACAGGCCUAUUUGGGGAGGAGCUGAGUGAGGCCCCAGUGACAGCAAACAUCAGUUGUCAGAUGUGCAAUGGAUGAGCCUUCAGCAGGCUCUGCUGUGCCCUUUUCAAAUGCAUAUUUAUUAUGCAGCCAGAGUUGGCAGCAAGCACUAAGCUGUGACAGUGCAUGAAGUAAUUUAAUUGGUGAGGCCCAUUCUUGCAACUACCUCUGUGACUAGUGGAGACAACUCAGAUCCCAGAUAAAGGAUGGGGUGCUGGGUCAGCAUGCCAAACCCAAGCUACCCCAGGGGGCUCAGAGGAAGAAUAAUGUGCUGGAAAGUGCUCUGUGGCAUGUAAAAAUGGGUGUCUUCUCAGGAUCUAGCAGUGGGACUAGAUUUGGGUAGAAGUGCCAAAUGAGAGAAAGCAAAGACCCUAAGGAUGAGAUUUAAUGAGGUUGCUGCCCUGUGUCUGGCCUGUCCCCCGCUGGUGCUCCUCUUCCAAGGGCAUUCCUGCCCAUGGGGAACAGAGGCUUUGGGUAAGGAACACAGCCAUCAUAUUGUAUGAACAGCCACACAGGGAGGCUGGCAUGAAGCUAAUACAGGCUAGAAGUCUCUCCUGGGAGGAGGCUGCCACGUGGGGGUCACAGAGUGCUGAGGGCCACUUGGAAAGUUGUGGAUCCAACAAGGAUCCUGGGCCCUGGAAGCUCCACAGCAUCCCUCAGUAGCAGGCUGUGAAGUAUCUGACCUGUGUUAUCAGUAGACGGUCUUGGUCUUGACUGCAAGUUGUCCAGGUUCUUGGUGUUUUGAACAAAGAAUUAGAUAAAAUGCACAGCAAAGCAAGGAAAGAAUGAAGCAAUGAAAGAGCAAAAACAGAUAUUUAUUGAAAAUGAAAGUACACUCCACAGUGUGGGAAUGGGUGGAGCAGCAGCUCAAGGUCCAGGAUAUAGAAUCUACAGAGUCCAAAUGCCCCUUAGAGGUUUCCCAUUGGCCACUUGGUGUUCACCCGGUGUAAAUGAAGUGGCGGCCUGCUUUCUGCAACCAAUCAGAGGCUGAAGUGAAGUUACAAAGUUACGCUCCUAUGCAACAUCUGAUUGGUUGCACAAAGCAACCAAUCAGAGGUAUUUUCAGUUUCGCAUCUGCUGCACAGAAAAGGUGAGGGUUUGCAAAGGGAGUGAUUUCUGAUCUUUUUGUUACUAAGGUGUGGAAAGUUAGGGCUUUACUUUGAAUUUAGUACUAGGAAGUCAGCUUGAAAUGGCCUUAGGUUCCCUGCCUCCAGACCCUAUUCUUCUGCCUCAUCUGGACCACCCAUGUGAGGGCCGCUCUUCGGAAGAUUUAUCCUUAGAGAACAAAGGGCUCAGAGAAAUACUGCCUCAAGCUGCACAUUGGCCCAACUCAGUUUUAUUUUAUUUUAUUUUAUUUUAUUAAUUUAUUUAUAUAUUUGUUUAUUUAUGACAGAGUCUUUUUCUUGUCGCCCAGGCUGGAGUGCAGUGGCAUGAUCUCGGCUCACUGCAACCUCCACCUCCCGGGUUCAAGUGAUUCUCCUGCCUCAGCCUCCUGAGUAGCUGGGAGUACAGGCGCCUGCCACCAUGCCCAGGUAAUUUUUGUAUUUUUAGUAGAGACGGGGUUUCACCAUGUUGGCCAGGCUGGUCUCGAACUCCUGACCUCAAGUGAUCCACCCGCCUCAGCCUCCCAAAGUGCUGGGAUUACAGGCUUGAGCCACUGCGCCUGGUCAGUUUUUUUUUUUUUUUUAAGUUUCUUCUUGGCAUCACCAGUUAAAAGAGAUUGAGAACAAGAACGUUCUUUCAGCGUGCCCACACCCCUGCCUGGCUUAACGGGUUUGAAAUGUGAGGGGAAGCCAAGUAGCCAGCUUGCCUCUGUUACUCAUGGCCCAGUGGGUCGGCUCAUGACCCUCAGGCCAGCCUGUGCCACUUUGGUGACUGGUGGCUACUUUGUGGUCAACUCUUGAAGCAUCAGCACAGCAUGAACAAACCAAAAGUGAAAUUCAGAAAUGGCUGCAGAAGCCAAACUGUUACCCAGCCCCUCUGAAAUCCCCCAAGCACUGGGGGAGCCACAACCAGUUUGGGGGCCAUUAGGAACAUUUUAAUCUAUAAGGCUAUGUGCUAUGGAGGGGUAGGGGAGAGAUGGUUGCAGGAGGCCAUGGGAGGGUUGAGACCCACAGGCCAGAGUCCAGGCCAUAAGACCCUCAUGAUGAGAAUGUUGACAAUAACAAAAUACUACUACUACUACUGCUGCUACUACUACUGCUGCUGCUGCUGCUGCUGCUGCUGCUGCUACUACUGCUACUACUUACGUUUUAACAUUUUUCAGAGCUUUGCUAUUUAUGAUUAUUCUGUCCUAGAUGAUUGCAGCAACAUUAUGAAGUACGUCUCAGGUUGAGUCCCCUAGAAACAGACCCUGAGAUGGAGAUUUGCAUGUAGGGGUUCGUUGGGGAGGGGAUCUUGGGAGUCCCACCUGGGAAGGGUAAGAGAGCAGUGGGGCUUUGAUGCUGCUGCAACAGAGGCCUCCACUGGCCCCUGGGGAGCUUGGAGCUUUGGAAACCUGCAGAGUUGAAGCAAGGGUUCCCCGUGUCCCUUCCAUAGGCUGCUCAUUAGACCAGCGGGGGGUUUGGUGAGGAUGCAGAAGGCGCUCAGCCACCAGUGUGGAAGGGGUACCCUGGCCUUGGAGCAGAAUCUGAAGAGGACACUGAGCACCCACCACACAUGGGCACUCUCAGGAUCUCUGCUACAGAGCAGGUGCUGAGUAGUGAGAUUUGCCCAGGGAAUGAGCCUACCUGGUGGGAUCAUCAUGUGGACCUGGAGGUCCUGACUUACUCAAGACCACUCAGCUACUAAGUGGCCACACUGGGAUUCCAGCUAAAGACUGUUUUAGGUUAGAGCUUCCUGAUCUCAGAAUGGACCCCCUGACCUAAGAAUAGGACCCCCCCCCACCUCAGGAUGGACUCCCCAACAUUAGAAUAAACUCUCUGACCUCAGAAUGAAUUCCUGGGCCUAAGAAUGAACUUUCUGACCUCAGAAUGGAUUCCCUGACCUCAGAAUAGACUCUCUGACCUCAGAAUGGACCCCCUGACCUAAGAAUAAAUCCCCCACCUAAGAAUGAACCUCCAACCUGAGAAUGAACUCCCGAAGCAAUAAUGGAUUCCCUAACCUAAGAAUAGACUCUUCAACCUAAGAAUAAACUUCCUGACCCAAGCAUGAAUCCCCUGACCUAAUAAUAGACUCCCCAACCUAAACAGGAACUUCCUGACCUAGGAAUGAACUGCCUGACCUCAGAAUGAACUUCUUUACUUAAGAAUGAACUUUCUGCCAUCAGAAUGGACCCUUGACCUCAGAAUGAACUCCCCGACCUCAGAAUGAACUCCCUGACCUCAGAAUGGACUCCCUGACCUCAGAAUGGACUCUCUGACCUCAGAAUGAACUCUCUGAACUCAGAAUGAACUCUCUGAACUCAGAAUGAACUCCCUGACCUCAGAAUGGAUUCCCCGACCUAAGAAUGGACUCCCUGACCUAGGAAUGAACUCUCUGACCUCAGAAUGAACUUUCUGAACUCAGAAUGGACUUCCUGACCUCAGAAUGGAUUCCCUGACCUAAGAAUGAACUCCUUGAUCAUUUUGCAGGUGAUGCUCGGGAGCACCAGUAGGGAGUGGGAAAGCAAACAGGGAAGGGAAAGAAGGCCAGCCAGGCACAGUGGCUCAUGCCCAUAAUUCCAGCACUUUGGGAGGCCAAGGUGGGUGGAUCACCUGAGGUCAGGAGUUUGAGACCAGCUUGGCCAACGUGGUGAAACCCCAUCUCUACUAAAAAUACAAAAAUUAGCCAGACGUGGUGGUGCACACCUGUAAUUCCAUCUACUUGGGAGGCUGAGGCAGGAAAAUUGCUGGAAUCUGGGAGGUGGAGGUUGCAGUGAACCAUGAUCAUGCCACUGCACUCCAGCCUGGGCGACAGUGACACUCUAUCUCAAAAAAAAAAAAAAAAAGAAAGAAAGGAGGCACUGGGAAUGCUGAGGGGCUCUGGCAAAUGGUGAUUAUCUAUCCAGAGCCCUUUCUGAAGCAUUGCUCUGCAGACCCGCCAGCCAGGGUUUUCAUUAAGUAGCAUUAAGUCAUAACCUUAAGUAAUAAAGCAAGCAUGCAUAGAAGGGCAAAGCCAGUCACUUCUCAGACCCCGAACCCCUCAGUGAAGGUUGGUGCAUGCAACGGGCUGGCCCUUUGGUGGAGACUGAAGAAAGAGUUUAUUGCAGGUGGGAAUAUUAUUUAAACAGGGAUUGAUGGAGGACAAAAGGGGCUUCUGGUUCCAUGAGGCAGGAGAUAAAUGAGAUGGGAAUCCUGAGUCAUGCAUUUUAUUCACUUCUCUGGAACGAGUUUUGGGGGCUCAUUUAGCAGA
rnacentral:lncRNA from 1 species